GAUGAACGCUGGCGGCGUGCCUAAUACAUGCAAGUCGAGCGAACAGACGAGGAGCUUGCUCCUUUGACGUUAGCGGCGGACGGGUGAGUAACACGUAGGUAACCUACCUAUAAGACUGGGAUAACUUCGGGAAACCGGAGCUAAUACCGGAUAAUAUUUCGAACCGCAUGGUUCGAUAGUGAAAGAUGGCUUUGCUAUCACUUAUAGAUGGACCUGCGCCGUAUUAGCUAGUUGGUAAGGUAACGGCUUACCAAGGCAACGAUACGUAUCCGACCUGAGAGGGUGAUCGGCCACACUGGAACUGAGACACGGUCCAGACUCCUACGGGAGGCAGCAGUAGGGAAUCUUCCGCAAUGGGCGAAAGCCUGACGGAGCAACGCCGCGUGAGUGAUGAAGGUCUUCGGAUCGUAAAACUCUGUUAUUAGGGAAGAACAAACGUGUAAGUAACUGUGCACGUCUUGACGGUACCUAAUCAGAAAGCCACGGCUAACUACGUG
rnacentral:rRNA from 1 species